rnacentral:rRNA from 1 species
UAGAAGAUAGUAUAGGUUGCUUGGGUCCAUUAGAGGAAGUAAAAGUCGUAACAAGGUUUCCGUAGGUGAACCUGCGGAAGGAUCAUUACCGAGUGAGGGCCCUUUGGGUCCAACCUCCCACCCGUGUUUAUUUUACCUUGUUGCUUCGGCGGGCCCGCCUUUACUGGCCGCCGGGGGGCUCACGCCCCCGGGCCCGCGCCCGCCGAAGACACCCUCGAACUCUGUCUGAAGAUUGAAGUCUGAGUGAAAAUAUAAAUUAUUUAAAACUUUCAACAACGGAUCUCUUGGUUCCGGCAUCGAUGAAGAACGCAGCGAAAUGCGAUACGUAAUGUGAAUUGCAAAUUCAGUGAAUCAUCGAGUCUUUGAACGCACAUUGCGCCCCCUGGUAUUCCGGGGGGCAUGCCUGUCCGAGCGUCAUUGCUGCCCUCAAGCCCGGCUUGUGUGUUGGGCCCCGUCCUCCGAUUCCGGGGGACGGGCCCGAAAGGCAGCGGCGGCACCGCGUCCGGUCCUCGAGCGUAUGGGGCUUUGUCACCCGCUCCGUAGGCCCGGCCGGCGCUUGCCGAUCAACCCAAAUUUUUAUCCAGGUUGACCUCGGAUCAGGUAGGGAUACCCGCUGAACUUAAGCAUAUCAUA